rnacentral:lncRNA from 1 species
CUGAAACAGCCAACAGAGGAGAAUGACAAGGAGGGGCAAUGAUGAUCCAAGGAGGUGGCAGAUCCUCAGGAAACACAGGGUGAAGAUAUAGGUUUGGAAAGGGGAUAUAACUUUCCAUGGUCAAAAGCAAAUAAACUGAACAUCUCAGCCAGCCCAUCUGCUUGGAGCCCUCUGCCUUAAAGCCACAUCACUCUCUGAGAUGAAACACCAGCCAGACAGGGUGAAGACAGGAGCGAGCUCCAGGUUUACAAGUGAUAGGAUCCCUGUGGAUUUCUAGUUCAGACUGAAAAUCCAUGAAAUUUAGAAUAAUAUGGGGAUAGUUUACAGACAUGUGAACUUUUACUGUGUAUGUUUUACUUACAAUGCAAUACCUAAUACUUCCACUGCGACAUCAGCAAACAUCCUUAGCCCUGUUUGCCACUGCACCACAGAGCUUUUCAUGCAAACUAACAUUACAGUAUGAUACAAAGAAAACUGUUUCUUCUUAAGAUAUUUACAAUGUGAUCAGGUUUAUUUAAAUAAAGUCCAUUUUAUACUA